CAUCUGUAGGUGUGUCAUUGUUUGUAUCUGUACAUCUGUGUCACUUUAACACACCUACAGAUGUACAGAUACAAACAAUGACACAUAUACAGAUG